rnacentral:rRNA from 1 species
GAUGAACGCUGGCGGCGUGCCUUACACAUGCAAGUCGAACGGUAACAGGUCUUCGGAUGCUGACGAGUGGCGAACGGGUGAGUAAUACAUCGGAACGUGCCUAGUAGUGGGGGAUAACUACUCGAAAGAGUGGCUAAUACCGCAUGAGAUCUACGGAUGAAAGCAGGGGAUCGCAAGACCUUGUGCUACUAGAGCGGCCGAUGGCAGAUUAGGUAGUUGGUGGGAUAAAGGCUUACCAAGCCGACGAUCUGUAGCUGGUCUGAGAGGACGAUCAGCCACACUGGGACUGGGACACGGCCCAGACUCCUACGGGAGGCAGCAGUGGGGAAUUAUGGACAAUGGGCGCAAGCCUGUUCCAGCAAUGCCGCGUGCAGGAUGAAGGGCUUCGGGUUGUAAACUGCUUUUGUACGGAACGAAAAGCCCUGGGUUAAUACCCUGGGGUCAUGACGGUACCGUAAGAAUAAGCACCGGUUAACUACGUGCCAGCCGCCGCGGUAAUAC